CCCUACGGGGGGCAGCAGUGAGGAAUAUUGGUCAAUGGGAGAGAUCCUGAACCAGCUAAGCCGCGUGAGGGAAGACGGCCCUAUGGGUUGUAAACCUCUUUUGUCGGAGAACAAAACCCGGGACGUGUCCCGGACUGCGUGUAUCCGAAGAAAAAGCAUCGGCUAACUCCGUGCCAGCAGCCGCGGUAAUACGGAGGAUGCGAGCGUUAUCCGGAUUUAUUGGGUUUAAAGGGUGCGUAGGCGGUCUGUUAAGUCAGCGGUAAAAUUGCGGGGCUCAACCCCGUCGAGCCGUUGAAACUGGCAGA
rnacentral:rRNA from 1 species